rnacentral:rRNA from 1 species
GAGUUUGAUCAUGGCUCAGAUUGAACGCUGGCGGCAUGCCUUACACAUGCAAGUCGAGCGGCAGCGCGGGGGCAACCCUGGCGGCGAGCGGCGAACGGGUGAGUAAUACAUCGGUACGUGUCCAGUAGUGGGGGAGUAACCAGUCGAAAGAUUGGCUAAUACCGCAUACGAUCUACGGAUGAAAGACGGGGCCGCAAGGCCUCGCGCUAUUGGAGCGGCCGAUGUCGGAUUAGCUAGUUGG